AGCUGCCGGCAGGGGGCGCCACAAGUUUAUGCCUGCGCCGUCGCGGGAAGCUUUUUGCAUCUCCGCAAACGAAAGCAACUUUGUACUUCCUUUCAAAACAGCACGCCGAAAGAUGGAACGGAACUGGAAGUUUAGGAACCUUUACCAUGUAGAGAGAUGAUGCCACAGCACAGACGCCACGUUACGUUCAAACACAGAAGCAGAGAGCAUGGAAAAUUUCCAGAGUAGAAGCGACAACGUAGACGCAAUUAUUCUAAUGAAAGAACGAGUUUAACUUCCAUUUAGUGCUACAUGUAUUUUGUAGAUGUCCAACUCAACCGUAUCCAACGCGAAAUGAGGUUUGUAGCACGCAGAUGAGCGCGGUUCAUGCUGCUCACGUGCAUCGGCUUCGUCAUCGCUCUAGGAAGUCAAGUCAAGGUGAACGGCUUGGUCGUUUUUUAUUGUUUACGCGUAGCUGCUCGAAACCAAGUCGCAAGCGCUGCUCGAUUCGUGCAUAAAUACGCAGCGCGCGGCAAUCCGCGGAGCCCGUCGACGCACUUUCUCUGCAUCGCUUGAGCAGCUAGCUUAAGCGCAGUACGUGUU